UAAGAAUUUGUAUACCCAUUGGAGCUUAAGGGGGAAAAGCAUGCGAACGAGUUUGAGGCUGAUUGGAAAAAAAAUGAGCAUGAAGACGACUGAUCAGUAGAUUGAUCAGGUGUGUUCUACUAUGUCUUGCAGAAAACAAAUAUUUAUAAACCUUAGAUUACAUUAGAGUCCAUGUACGAGAAUAAAACAUUUGUAAUUCGAAAUAUCAUGAACCUGAAUUACAAAAAUAAUAGCAGUGUACCGAGCAUAUUGGUGAAACUUCAGUGUGAGGAUGCAUGUAGCAGUUUCUACCCUAAUUGAAAAAGGAAGAAGGCUAAUGGUGGUGGAAUCCUUAUCAGGAUUUUAAUGGCAACUUAAUUAAAG
rnacentral:lncRNA from 1 species